AGAUUGAACGCUGGCGGCAGGCCUAACACAUGCAAGUCGAGCGGUAGAGAGGUGCUUGCACCUCUUGAGAGCGGCGGACGGGUGAGUAAUGCCUAGGAAUCUGCCUAGUGGUGGGGGAUAACGUUCGGAAACGGACGCUAAUACCGCAUACGUCCUACGGGAGAAAGCGGGGGACCUUCGGGCCUCGCGCCAUUAGAUGAGCCUAGGUCGGAUUAGCUAGUUGGUGAGGUAAUGGCUCACCAAGGCGACGAUCCGUAACUGGUCUGAGAGGAUGAUCAGUCACGCUGGGACUGAGACACGGCCCAGACUCCUACGGGAGGCAGCAGUGGGAAUUUGGACAAUGGGGAACCCUGGAUCCAGCCAUCCCGCGUGUGCGAUGAAGGCCUUGGGUUAGUAAGCGACUUUUGGCGAGGAAGAACGGCGUACCCUAAGUACGGCGUCGACGUGACGUAC
rnacentral:rRNA from 1 species